AGUGAACGCUGGCGGUAGGCCUAACACAUGCAAGUCGAACGGCAGCACAGUAAGAGCUUGCUCUUACGGGUGGCGAGUGGCGGACGGGUGAGGAAUACAUCGGAAUCUACUUUUUCGUGGGGGAUAACGUAGGGAAACUUACGCUAAUACCGCAUACGACCUACGGGUGAAAGCAGGGGAUCUUCGGACCUUGCGCGAUUGAAUGAGCCGAUGUCGGAUUAGCUAGUUGGCGGGGUAAAGGCCCACCAAGGCGACGAUCCGUAGCUGGUCUGAGAGGAUGAUCAGCCACACUGGAACUGAGACACGGUCCACACUCCUACGGGAGGAAGCAGUGGGGAAUAUUGGACAAUGGGCGCAAGCCUGAUCCAGCCAUACCGCGUGGGUGAAGAAGGCCUUCGGGUUGUAAAGCCCUUUUGUUGGGAAAGAAAAGCAGCAGGUUAAUACCCCGCUGUUCUGACGGUACCCAAAGAAUAAGCACCGGCUAACUUCGUG
rnacentral:rRNA from 1 species